rnacentral:rRNA from 1 species
GACGAACGCUGGCGGCGUGCUUAACACAUGCAAGUCGAACGGAAAGGCCCUGCUUUUGUGAGGUGCUCGAGUGGCGAACGGGUGAGUAACACGUGAGUAACCUGCCCUUGACCUUGGGAUAACUUCAGGAAACUGGGGCUAAUACCGGAUAGGAGCUCCUGCUGCAUGGUGGGGGUUGGAAAGUUUCGGCGGUUGGGGAUGGACUCGCGGCUUAUCAGCUUGUUGGUGGGGUAGUGGCUUACCAAGGCUUUGACGGGUAGCCGGCCUGAGAGGGUGACCGGCCACAUUGGGACUGAGAUACGGCCCAGACUCCUACGGGAGGCAGCAGUGGGGAAUAUUGCACAAUGGGCGGAAGCCUGAUGCAGCAACGCCGCGUGCGGGAUGACGGCCUUCGGGUUGUAAACCGCUUUCGCCUGUGACGAAGCGUGAGUGACGGUAAUGGGUAAAGAAGCACCGGCUAACUACGUG